rnacentral:rRNA from 1 species
CACGGGGGGAGCAAGCGUUGUUCGGAAUCACUGGGCGUAAAGGGCGCGUAGGCGGCCUUCUAAGUCAGACGUGAAAUCCCCCGGCUUAACCUGGGAACUGCGUCUGAUACUGGGAGGCUUGAGUAUGGGAGAGGGAUGUAGAAUUCCAGGUGUAGCGGUGAAAUGCGUAGAUAUCUGGAGGAAUACCGGUGGCGAAGGCGGCAUCCUGGACCAUAACUGACGCUGAGGCGCGAAAGCUAGGGGAGCAAACGGG